UACGUAGGGGGGCAAGCGUUUGUCCGGAUUUAUUGGGCGUAAAGAGCGUGUAGGCGGCUUGGCAAGUCCGCUGUGAAAACUCGAGGCUUAACCUCGAGACGUCGGUGGAAACUGCUUGGCUAGAGUCCGGAAGAGGAGAGUGGAAUUCCUGGUGUAGCGGUGAAAUGCGCAGAUAUUAGGAGGAACACCGGUGGCGAAGGCGGGUCUCUGGGCCUUACCUGACGCUGAGGAGCGAAAGCGUGGGGAGCGAACAGG
rnacentral:rRNA from 1 species